ACAUUGUUAUUAGAAAAAAAAUUAAUAAUAAAGUCUGCUCAAUGAAAUAUUAAAUAGCCGCUUUUGUGCUAAGGUAGCAUAAUAAUUUGUCUUUUAAUUAAAGACUGGAACAAAAGACUUAACAUCUUAAUUAAUUUCUCAUUAAAAACUAUUUAAAUUAUUUUAAUUGUUAAAAAACAAUUAUUUAAAAAAAAGACGAUAAGACCCUAUCGAACUUUACUUUAGUUUAACUGGGGCAGUUAAUUAAUUUUUAUUUUAAAAAAACUAAAUUUUAAAUUUGACCUAUUAUAAUUAAUAAAAUAAUUAAGUUACCGUAGGGAUAACAGCGUAAUAAAAUUUUUAAGAUCUUAUUUAAAAUUAAGAUUACGACCUCGAUGUUGAUUUAAUAACCUAUUUUACGCAGUAGUAAACUAAGGAAGUCUGUUCGACUUUUAAAAAAUUACAUGAUUUGAGUUCAGACCGGUGUAAACCAGGUCGGUUUCUAUCUUUUAAAAAAUUUCUUCUAGUACGAAAGGACCUAAGAAAAUAAUAAUAUU
rnacentral:rRNA from 1 species